rnacentral:rRNA from 1 species
AGAGUUUGAUCAUGGCUCAGAAUCAACGCUGGCGGCGUGCCUCAGACAUGCAAGUCGAACGCGAAAGUCCCCUUCGGGGGGCGAGUAGAGUGGCGCACGGGUGAGUAACACGUAGGUAAUCUACCUUUGGAUUGGGAAUAACCACCGGAAACGGUGGCUAAUACCGAAUAAUGCAGCGGCACCUAAUGGUGACAGUUGUUAAAGCGGGGGAUCGCAAGACCUCGCGUCUGAAGAGGAGCCUGCGGCAGAUUAGCUAGUUGGUAAGGUAACGGCUUACCAAGGCGAUGAUCUGUAGCCGGCCUGAGAGGGCGGUCGGCCACACUGACACUGACAUACGGGUCAGACUCCUACGGGAGGCAGCAGUCGGGAAUUUUGGGCAAUGGGCGAAAGCCUGACCCAGCAACGCCGCGUGAAGGAUGAAAUCCUUCGGGAUGUAAACUUCGCAAGAACGGGAAGAAUAAGUAAGAGUUAAUAUCUCUUACGAUGACGGUACUGUUUGUAAGCUCCGGCUAACUCCGUGCCAGCAGCCGCGGUAAUAC